GCCCCCCGCACCGGGAGGAGCUGAUGUCGAGGAGGGGCGGGCGCGAGGCUGGCCACGCUGACGAGGCCCCUCCUCCCUCCGGGUGCCCAGCCCCGCUGAUGGGCACCACUAACCAGUCUAGACCUCGGGCCGAGAGAUGAUGGUGAUGGACAAAACUAUGCACACAUUUCAAGUCUGCAGGAUCUGGAACCUCUGCAGGACCAGCAACUGCUGCAGUCAUAGACAUUCAACCCUUUAGAUAAAUAACCUGUCCCUGCCUGAGGUUGCAGACUGGCUAUGCUACAGGCUCCUUCUCCACGUGGGUCUCUGUCACUCCAGAGAAGCCCCAGAUGGAGUUUGGAAUUACCUGACCUGGGUAGACCAUUAUCCCAACCAUGAACUGCCCUGCUGUGGAUGGGUGAGGUCGGGGAGCGCAGAGACAUGGUGUGGUGGCCCACAAAUGCAUAAUAAAUGCAAGUAUAUAUUCACAUCACUGCCUCUGCCUGGGACUCCCCCAAUUUCCCUCGUGAAAUCAGUAGGUGGGACCCAGGAUUUGAGGCAAACAGACUUGAAUUCAAAACCUUGCUCUACCUUUUAUUAUACUACAGCCUUGGACAAGUGACUUGACCUCCUGCCAGAACUUCCUCAUCUAUAAAAUGGGGUGGGGAUGCUCACCCCCCCUAGGUCCUGGGGUGAGAAUUAGGAGGGAGUGUGUAAGAAGUACAAGCAAGGACCUCAUAGGUGGAUCACACUUGAGAUUUCAUGAUCACCUGCCUAAGGGCUCUGCCCAGGGUCACCUCCUCCAGGAAGCCUGUUUGGCAUCACACAGGGCUAGCAAAGCUGCCCUCUCUCCCGUGUUGCCACCUUUAGUCUAGUUUUUCUGUCUUUACAGUGCCCAUUCCCCUGCCUGCCUCACCUCUCAAAAUACCUGACAUUGAUUGAGCCCUCAAACCUCUGACACCAGACUAGGUGCCUAUUUGUUGGUCGCUCAUAUGGUCCCCAGACUUACGCUGGUGUC